UACAGAGGGGGCAAGCGUUGUUCGGAAUUACUGGGCGUAAAGGGCGCGUAGGCGGCCUGCUAAGUCGAACGUGAAAUCCCCGGGCUCAACCCGGGAACUGCGUCCGAUACUGGCAGGCUUGAAUCCGGGAGAGGGAUGCGGAAUUCCAGGUGUAGCGGUGAAAUGCGUAGAUAUCAGGAGGAACACCGAUGGCGAAGGCAGGUCUCUGGGCUGACACUGACGCUCAUGCACGAAAGCGUGGGGAGCAAACAGG
rnacentral:rRNA from 1 species